rnacentral:rRNA from 1 species
UACGAAGGGGGCUAGCGUUGUUCGGAAUUACUGGGCGUAAAGCGCACGUAGGCGGAUCGAUCAGUCAGGGGUGAAAUCCCAGGGCUCAACCCUGGAACUGCCUUUGAUACUGUCGAUCUGGAGUAUGGAAGAGGUGAGUGGAAUUCCGAGUGUAGAGGUGAAAUUCGUAGAUAUUCGCAAGAACACCAGUGGCGAAGGCGGCUCACUGGUCCGGUUCUGACGCUGAGGCGACGAAAGCGUGGGGAGCAAACAGG